rnacentral:lncRNA from 1 species
AAUUUUUAUGCCCCAUCUACGAUAGUAGAGGGGCAUUAUGUUUUCUGGUCUGUGCGUCCGUUUGUCCGUCCGUCCGUCCGUCCGUCCGUCUGUCCCGCUUCAGGUUAAAGUUUUUGGUCAAGGUAGUUUUUGAUGAAGUUGAAGUCCAAUCAACUUGAAACUUAGUAUACAUGUGCCCUAUGAUAUGAUCUUCUAAUUUGAAUGCCAAAUUAGAGUUUUGACCCCAAUUUUACGGUUCACUGAACAUAGAAAAUGAUAGUGCAAAUUUCAGGUUAAAGUUUUUGGCUUCAGGUUAAAGUUUUUGGUCAAGGUAGUUUUUGAUGAAGUUGAAGUCCAAUCAACUUGAAACUUAGUAUACAUGUGCCCUAUGAUAUGAUCUUUCUAAUUUAAAUGCCAAAUUAGAGUUUUGACCCCAAUUUUACGGUUCACUGAACAUAGAAAAUGAUAGUGCAAAUUUCAGGUUAAAGUUUUUGGCUUCAGGUUAAAGUUUUUGGUCAAGGUAUUUUUGAUGAAGUUGAAGUCCAAUCAACUUGAAACUUAGUAUACAUGUGCCCUAUGAUAUGAUCUUUCUAAUUUAAAUGCCAAAUUAGAGUUUUGACCCCAAUUUUACGGUUCACUGAACAUAGAAAAUGAUAGUGCAAAUUUCAGGUUAAAGUUUUUUGGCUUCAGGUUAAAGUUUUUGGUCAAGGUAGUUUUUUGAUGAAGUUGAAGUCCAAUCAACUUGAAACUUAGUAUACAUGUGCCCUAUGAUAUGAUCUUUCUAAUUUAAAUGCCAAAUUAGAGUUUUGAUCCCAAUUUUACGGUUCACUGAACAUAGAAAAUGAUAGUGCAAAUUUCAGGUUAAAGUUUUUGGUCAAGGUAGUUUUUGAUAAAGUAGAAGUCCAAUCAACUUGAAACUUAGUAUACAUGUUCCCUUUGAUAAGAUCAUUCUAAUUUUAAUGCCAAAUUAGAGAAUUUAUUCCAAUUUCACAGUCCUUUAAACAUAGAAAAUGAUAGUGCGAGUGGGGC